GCUGGGAGUCCAUGGUGGCUCUUGGGCUGGCCCUGGGAACUCCAGCAUAUGUAUCUGCCAGCCACUGGCUGCCCAGCUCCAAAAUACUACCUGGAGCUCGGCCUCUUGACCUUUGUCCCAACCCUGGCUCUGCCCCACCAGGGUGGAGUCUCUCUCUGGCCCUUUCCCUGCAUCAGCACAGCCCUAUGACCUUUGGACUGAGCUGACUGGUGCUUCUAUAGUCAUACAGACUCGGACCCUGGAGUGCCAGCACCCAGCUGGAUCCUUCCUGAGCCCACAACCAUGGACAGAUAGGCGGACACACUGAUUGCAAGCGGGGAGCACACUUAUGGCCAAGCACUGCUCAGUUCUGGGGGACCCAGGAAGGAGGCGCUUACAAAGGACAUGAGAGAGGGCACCCAGGAAGCAGAGCCAGGUUCCCAGAGUUGUCCUGACGUGACCUGACUUCAUCCCCUCUGCCACUCCAGAGCCUCAGGAGCCCACUGGCUGAAUGCCCUACACUUCUGUUCAUUGUGCUCCAUGGGCUGACCCCUUCUCACAUGCUGGCUCCACCCAGGGCACCCACAGCUCCACCCAUGUGCAUCCAAGCCCCAAGCCUGAGCCACCCUCUGCUACCCCGCCCUCAGCCCUGUCUGCCACCAGGUGCCCGGUCUGCUAGGGUCUACUUGAUUUCCUCCCUCUCCCCUGGCCUGCGACUUGGAAUAAACCCUUUUGGUGCCAUUCAA